GAUCAUUCCGGUUGAUCCUGCCGGAGGCUAUUGCUAUCGGGGUCCGAUUCAGCCAUGCUAGUCGCACGGGUUCAGACCCGUGGCGAACAGCUCCGUAACACGUGGUCAAACUACCCUCUGGACCGGGAUACCCUCGGGAAACUGAGGCCAAUCCCGGAUACGGCUCCCAGCCUUGAACGGCGGGAGCCGGAAACGGUCCGCCGCCGGAGGACGUGACUGCGGCCGAUUAGGUAGACGGUGGGGUAACGGCCCACCGUGCCGAUAAUCGGUACGGGUUGUGAGA
rnacentral:rRNA from 1 species